rnacentral:rRNA from 1 species
AUUGAACGCUGGCGGCAUGCCUUACACAUGCAAGUCGAACGGUAACAGGUUAAGCUGACGAGUGGCGAACGGGUGAGUAAUAUAUCGGAACGUGCCCAGUCGUGGGGGAUAACGUAGCGAAAGCUACGCUAAUACCGCAUACGAUCUACGGAUGAAAGCGGGGGAUCGCAAGACCUCGCGCGAUUGGAGCGGCCGAUAUCAGAUUAGGUUGUUGGUGAGGUAAAAGCUCACCAAGCCUGCGAUCUGUAGCUGGUCUGAGAGGACGACCAGCCACACUGGAACUGGGACACGGUCCAGACUCCGACGGGAGGCAGCAGUGGGGAAUUUUGGACAAUGGACGCAAGUCUGAUCCAGCAAUGCCGCGUGCAGGACGAAGGCCUUCGGGUUGUAAACUGCUUUUGUACGGAACGAAACGGUGAGCUCUAAUACAGUUUGCUAAUGACGGUACCGUAAGAAUAAGCACCGGCUAACUACGUGCCAGCAGCCGCGGUAA